rnacentral:rRNA from 1 species
AUUGAACGCUGGCGGCAUGCCUUACACAUGCAAGUCGAACGGUAACGGGCCUUCGGGUGCCGACGAGUGGCGAACGGGUGAGUAAUACAUCGGAACGUGCCCGAUCGUGGGGGAUAACGAGGCGAAAGCUUUGCUAAUACCGCAUACGAUCUACGGAUGAAAGCAGGGGACCGCAAGGCCUUGCGCGGACGGAGCGGCCGAUGGCAGAUUAGGUAGUUGGUGGGAUAAAAGCUUACCAAGCCGACGAUCUGUAGCUGGUCUGAGAGGAUGAUCAGCCACACUGGGACUGAGACACGGCCCAGACUCCCACGGGAGGCAGCAGUGGGGAAUUUUGGACAAUGGGCGCAAGCCUGAUCCAGCCAUGCCGCGUGCAGGAUGAAGGCCUUCGGGUUGUAAACUGCUUUUGUACGGAACGAAAAGCCUUCUUUUAAUACAGGAGGGUCAUGACGGUACCGUAAGAAUAAGCACCGGCUAACUACGUG